GGCGCUAUAGCCAAGUGGUUACGGCGACAGAUUCGAAUGAGGUAAUCCAUUGCGUGCAAUCUGUUCCUCUUUGAGGGCGCAGGCUCAAAUCCUACUGGCGUCG